GGGGAUGUAGCUCAUUUGGCAGAGCGCGUCAUUAGCAUCUUUCCAGUACUGGAACAGAGGAAUUGACGAGGUACCGGGUUCAAUUCCCUGCUUCUCCA
rfam:Cryptococcus pinus CBS 10737 unplaced genomic scaffold supercont1.15, whole genome shotgun sequence.